GAUGAACGCUGGCGGCGUGCCUAAUACAUGCAAGUCGAGCGAACAGACGAGGCGCUUGUUCCUCUGACGUUAGCGGCGGACGGGUGAGUAACGCGUGGAUAACCUACCUAUCAGACUGGGAUAACUUCGGGAAACCGGAGCUAAUACCGGAUAAUAUCUUGAACCACAUGGUUCAAUAGUGAAAGACGGUUUUGCUGUAUCUUAUAGAGGCAUCCCCGCCGCUUUAGCUAGUUGUGAAGGUAACGGCCUACCAAGGCAACGAUGCGUAGCCGACGUGAGAGGGGGAUCGGCCACACUGGAACUGGGACACGGUCCAGACUCCUACGGGAGGCAGCAGUAGGGAAUCUGCCGCAAUGGGCGAAAGCCUGACGGAGCAAGGCCGCGUGAGUGAUGAAGGUCUCGGGAUCGUAAAACUCGGUUAUUAGGGAAGAACAAAUUUGGAAUUAACUAUGCACGUAGUGACGGUACCUAAUCAGAAAGCCACGGCUAACUACGUG
rnacentral:rRNA from 1 species